rnacentral:lncRNA from 1 species
UGUACCGAACUGCAAUCUUUAUCAGAUAGCUUUCGGAUUCGAUUUCUCUCUCUACGGGUGUCAGAAAAAUAUGAAACUUUAAAUCUAGCCUCAUAAAAAUAUUUCUGACAUCUCCGCCAAUUUUCAUAAUUUUCUGACACUGUGCAUUUUCUGCUAAUUUAUCUGCCCCGUUUCUUACAGAAAAUUCUAAAUCAUCUGUUUUCGCUCUGAUUUCAACACAGGUCAUUCCCAACUUAUAUUUCACUUCUCUAAAUCCAAUAAAAAUAGUAUCUCAUACUAUUUUUAUUUAUUUUUAUUUUUAUAUUUAAAAUCCGAUAUGUUACAUUCCACCGCAACCUCACCGGUACCUUUACACCCGGGACCGUCUGCGGACCUCC